rnacentral:rRNA from 1 species
AUUGAACGCUGGCGGCAUGCCUUACACAUGCAAGUCGAACGGUAACAGGUCUUCGGAUGCUGACGAGUGGCGAACGGGUGAGUAAUACAUCGGAACGUGCCCGAGAGUGGGGGAUAACGAGGCGAAAGCUUUGCUAAUACCGCAUACGAUCUCAGGAGGAAAGCAGGGGACCGCAAGGCCUUGCGCUCACGGAGCGGCCGGUGGCGGAUUAGGUAGUUGGUGGGAUAAAAGCUUACCAAGCCGACGAUCUGUAGCUGGGCUGAGAGAACGACCAGCCACACUGGGACUGAGACACGGCCCAGACUCCUACGGGAGGCAGCAGUGGGGAAUUUUGGACAAUGGGCGCAAGCCUGAUCCAGCCAUGCCGCGUGCAGGAUGAAGGCCUUCGGGUUGUAAACUGCUUUUGUACGGAACGAAAAGACUCUGGUUAAUACCUGGGGUCCAUGACGGUACCGUAAGAAUAAGCACCGGCUAACUACGUGCCAGCCGCCGCAGUAAUAC